UACGUAGGGGGCUAGCGUUGUCCGGAAUUACUGGGCGUAAAGGGAGUGUAGACGGCUUGUCAAGUUAAGUGUGAAAGCCUGCGGCUUAACCGCAGAAUUGCACUUAAAACUGACUCGCUAGAGUGCAGGAGAGGUGAGUGGAAUUCCUAGUGUAGCGGUGGAAUGCGUAGAUAUUAGGAGGAACACCAGAGGCGAAGGCGGCUCACUGGACUGUAACUGACGUUGAGGCUCGAAAGCGUGGGGAGCAAACAGG
rnacentral:rRNA from 1 species